GGGGGCUGUAGCUCAGUAGCAGAGCAUCUGCUUUUCAUGCAGAAGGUCCCAGGUUUAAUUCCUGGCAUCUCCA